rfam:Mesocricetus auratus contig024290, whole genome shotgun sequence.
ACAGAGGCUUUCUUAAAAGCCAUCUUCACCUAAAAUUGGUUGAGAU